AUUGAACGCUGGCGGCAUGCUUUACACAUGCAAGUCGGACGGCAGCACAGAGAAGCUUGCUUCUUGGGUGGCGAGUGGCGAACGGGUGAGUAACAUAUCGGAACGUACCGAGCAGUGGGGGAUAACUAAUCGAAAGAUUAGCUAAUACCGCAUAUUUUCUGAGGAAGAAAGCAGGGGACCAUUUGGCCUUGCGCUGUUUGAGCGGCCGAUAUCUGAUUAGCUAGUUGGUGGGGUAAAGGCCUACCAAGGCGACGAUCAGUAGCGGGUCUGAGAGGAUGAUCCGCCACACUGGGACUGAGACACGGCCCAGACUCCCACGGGAGGCAGCAGUGGGGAAUUUUGGACAAUGGGCGCAAGCCUGAUCCAGCCAUGCCGCGUGUCUGAUGAAGGCCUUCGGGUUGUAAAGGACUUUGUCAGGGAAGAAAAGGACAGGGUUAAUAC
rnacentral:rRNA from 1 species